rnacentral:snRNA from 1 species
AGAUGCAAUGGUGAUCUGGCAGUACCCUCUGUUACCUCAUGAUUGCCAGGGUUGGCAUGGCUGAUCUGGCUGGGUAGGUGAAUAUCUCAUUUCCCCCUCACCGCUCCAUGUAUGUCACUCCGGAAGAUGUCCACUUGGUAGAAGCCAACCAGUCAAAGAUAGACAAGCAGCCACACUUCUCUGCUAAGGUUUCCAAAUAAGAACCCAAGACAGUCUUCCUCAACUGGUUUCAAGAACUGAGGAUGGAAUUCUGGCACUCCCUUCUCUUAGUGCUCUCUAUAGAG